GACGUAGGUGGCAACCGUUGCUCGGAAUCACUGGGCAUAAAGCGCACGUAGGUGGCUAAGUAAGUCGGUGGUGAAAUACCUUGGCUCAACCAAGGAAGUGCCAUCGAUACUGCCAUGCUUGAGGACGGGAGGGGUGAGUGGAACUCUUGGUGUAGCGGUGAAAUGCGUAGAUAUCAAGAGGAACGCCGGUGGCGAAGGCGGCUUCCUGGACCGACACUGACGCUGAGGCGCGAAAGCUAGGGGAGCAAACGGG
rnacentral:rRNA from 1 species